UACGUAGGGGGCAAGCGUUAUCCGGAAUUAUUGGGCGUAAAGAGCGCGCAGGUGGUUGAUUAAGUCUGAUGUGAAAGCCCACGGCUUAACCGUGGAGGGUCAUUGGAAACUGGUCGACUUGAGUGCAGAAGAGGGAAGUGGAAUUCCAUGUGUAGCGGUGAAAUGCGUAGAGAUAUGGAGGAACACCAGUGGCGAAGGCGGCUUCCUGGUCUGUAACUGACACUGAGGCGCGAAAGCGUGGGGAGCAAACAGGAUUAGAUACCCU
rnacentral:rRNA from 1 species